rnacentral:rRNA from 1 species
GCGGUAUGCCUAAACAUGCAAGUCGUACGGGAGUUUUUAACUCAAGUGGCGGACGGGUGAGUAACACGUGAGAAUUUACCUUUAGGAGGGGGAUAACAAUUGGAAACGAUUGCUAAUACCCCAUAUGCUCUAGGGUGAAAUGGAUUUAUCUGCCUAAAGAAAAGCUCGCGGCUGAUUAGCUAGUUGGUUAAGGUAAUGGCUUACCAAGGCGACGAUCAGUAUCUGGUUUGAGAGGACGAUCAGACACACUGGAACUGAGACACGGUCCAGACUCCUACGGGAGGCAGCAGUGGGGAAUUUUCCGCAAUGGGCGAAAGCCUGACGGAGCAAUACCGCGUGAGGGAAGACUGCCUAUGGGUUGUAAACCUCUUUUUUCAGGGAGGAAUAAAUGACGUGUACCUGAAGAAUAAGCAUCG